GACGAACGCUGGCGGCGUGCUUAACACAUGCAAGUCGUACGGUAAGGCCCUUUCGGGGGUCCACGAGUGGCGAACGGUUGCGUAACACGUGAGUAACCUGCCCACACCUUUUGUAUAACGCUAGGAAACUGGUGCUAAUACUGGAUAUGUUCUCCUGCUGCAUGGUGGGGGUUGGAAAGCUCCGGCGGUUGUGGAUGGACUCGCGGCCUAUCAGCUUGUUGGUGGGGUAGUGGCCUACCAAGGCGGCGACGGGUAGCCGGACUGAGAGGGUGACCGGCCACAUUGGGACUGAGAUAAGGCCCAGACUCCUACGGGAGGCAGAAGUGGGGAAUAUUGCACAAUGGGCGCAAGCCUGAUGCAGCAACGCCGCGGGCGGGAUGACGGCCUUCGGGUUGUAAACCGCUUUCAGCAGGGAAGAAGCUUUUUGUGACGGUACCUGCAGAAGAAGCACCGGCUAACUACGUG
rnacentral:rRNA from 1 species